rnacentral:pre_miRNA from 1 species
GAGCUACUCCCUCCGUUCGGAAUUACUUGUCGCAGAAAUGGAUGUAUCUAGACGUAUUUUAGUUCUAGAUACAUCCAUUUUCGAGACAAGUAAUUCCGAACGGAGGGAGUAGGUU